AUACGGAGGGUGCGAGCGUUAAUCGGAAUUACUGGGCGUAAAGCGUACGUAGGCGGUUUGCUAAGUCAGAUGUGAAAGCCCCGGGCUUAACCUGGGAACUGCAUUUGAUACUGGCAGACUAGAGUAUGAUAGAGGGGGGUAGAAUUCCUGGUGUAGCGGUGAAAUGCGUAGAUAUCAGGAGGAAUACCAGUGGCGAAGGCGGCCCCCUGGAUCAAUACUGACGCUGAGGUACGAAGGCGUGGGGAGCGAACAGGAUUAGAAACCCUAGUAGUCC
rnacentral:rRNA from 1 species